rnacentral:tRNA from 1 species
GCCCGAGUGGCUCAGUCGGUUAAGCGACGGACUCUUGAUUUCAGCUCAGGUCAUGAUCUCACGGAUGUGGGAUCGAGCCCCGCUUCGGGCU